UCUCCGUAGGUGAACCUGCGGAGGGAUCAUUACAGAGUUCAUGCCCUUCUGGGUAGAUCUCCCACCCUGUGUUAUUAUUACUUUGUUGCUUUGGCGGGCCGUUAGGCUUCGGCUUGGCUACCGGCCCCGGCUGGUAAGCGCCCGCCAGAGGACCCCAAACUCUGAACGUUAGUGUCGUCUGAGUACUAUAAAAUAGUUAAAACUUUCAACAACGGAUCUCUUGGUUCUG
rnacentral:misc_RNA from 1 species